rnacentral:piRNA from 1 species
UCAACCACAAUCUCCAGACUUCUUGUCUAGAU